GCCAGUGUGGCUCAGUGGUAGAGCAUCAGCAGGCACACCAAAGGGUCAAGGGUUCGAAUCCCGGUCAAGGGCA
rnacentral:tRNA from 1 species